AUAUCACUUAUCUAUGCAAAUGGUAACUUUAAUUUUUUAUUUUCUUUGCAGGGGAAUCAAGUGUCAAAAAUAGAGUAUGCAAAGAUAUGGCAGUCAAGUGCAGAAGUGUAUACCGCUACUGAAUCUUGUACAGCCAUUGGAUAUGGAUUCAAGUCAUCCUUGGCUGCAAUAAGAAGGCAAGGCACCCCAUAACCACUUUCUUCACAUCGCCUAGCUAACUCCACAAGCAGUUCACAAGAUCUUUUCCAUGAAUAUUCAUCCGAA
rnacentral:misc_RNA from 1 species